CCACCUUGGCCUCACCUGGACCUGGUGACUCUGGUCUCCACCUGGCUCUCACGUGGACCUGGUGACUGUGGUCCCCACCUGGGCCUCA
rnacentral:miRNA from 1 species